CCAGCGGUCCUCUUUAAUAUUUGUUUGAAUGGAGGACAUUUUCGAUCAGACUGGAGUUCGCUUCGUAUAAAAUCAGAGCUUAUAAUGGCGUUGUAAUCGUUAAGGAGAUAUACCUGUGGCUGUAUUUACAUUGCUCGUAUUAUCUGUUGGCUUGGUAGUGAAUUUUAGGACGUUAACAGUCUCCCAAACGUACCUGCCAAACCCAACAACGCGUCGGCUAUCUUUGGAGGUCACAGCCCUUACGGAUUAAGAGCAACAGAGCCUAGCAUAUUCCGAAGCAAGGAAAAACCCAGCUCAACUCGUAAAUCUGCAAGA
rnacentral:misc_RNA from 1 species